UACGUAGGGGGCUAGCGUUGUCCGGAAUCAUUGUGCGUAAAGCGCGUGUAGGCGGUCCGGUAAGUCCGCUGUGAAAGUCGAGGGCUCAACCCUCGAAUGCCGGUGGAUACUGUCGGGCUAGAGUGCGGAAGAGGCGAGUGGAAUUCCUGGUGUAGCGGUGAAAUGCGCAGAUAUCAGGAGGAACACCUAUUGCGAAGGCAGCUCGCUGGGACGUUACUGACGCUGAGACGCGAAAGCGUGGGGAGCAAACAGG
rnacentral:rRNA from 1 species